rnacentral:rRNA from 1 species
CAAUGGACGAAAGUCUGAUGGAGCCAUGCCGCGUGCAGGAUGAAUGCCCUAUGGGUUGUAAACUGCUUUUAUAUAGGAAGAACAUUUUCUACGUGUAGAGAACUGACGGUACUAUAAGAAUAAGGACCGGCUAACUCCGUGCCAGCAGCCGCGGUAAUACGGAGGGUCCAAGCGUUAUCCGGAUUUAUUGGGUUUAAAGGGUCCGUAGGCGGGAGAAUAAGUCAGUGGUGAAAGCCUACAGCUUAACUGCAGAACCGCCAUUGAAACUGUUUUUCUUGAAUUUAGAUGAAGUGGGCGGAAUAUAUCAUGUAGCGGUGAAAUGCAUAGAUAUGAUAUAGAACACCGAUUGCGAAGGCAGCUCACUAAACUAAUAUUGACGCUGAGGGACGAAAGCGUGGGGAGCGAACAGGAUUAGAUACCCUGGUAGUCCACGCCGUAAACGAUGAUUACUCGGUGCUAGCGAUAUACUGUUAGUGCCUAAGCGAAAGCGAUAAGUAAUCCACCUGGGGAGUACGGUCGCAAGAUUGAAACUCAAAGGAAUUGACGGGGGCCCGCACAAGCGGUGGAGCAUGUGGUUUAAUUCGAUGAUACGCGAGGAACCUUACCUGGGCUUAAAUGUAUUUUGACAGGCUGAGAAAUCAGUUUUUCUUCGGACAAUUUACAAGGUGCUGCAUGGUUGUCGUCAGCUCGUGCUGUGAGGUGUCGGGUUAAGUCCCAUAACGAGCGCAACCCCUAUCCUUAGUUGCCAGCGAGUAAUGUCGGGGACUCUAGGGAAACUGCCGGUGCAAACCGUGAGGAAGGUGGGGAUGACGUCAAAUCAUCACGGCCCUUACGUCCAGGGCUACACACGUGCUACAAUGGCAUAUACAAAGGGCAGCUACAUGGUGACAUGGUGCUAAUCUCUAAAGUAUGUCUCAGUUCGGAUCGAAGUCUGCAACUCGACUUCGUGAAGCUGGAAUCGCUAGUAAUCGCGUAUCAGCAAUGACGCGGUGAAUACGUUCCCGGGCCUUGUACACACCGCCCGUCAAGCCAUGGAAGUUGGGAGUGCCUGAAGUCGGUGACCGCAAGGAGCUGCCUAAGGUAAAACUAGUAACUAGGGCUAAGUCGUAACAAGGUAGCCGUACCGGAAGGUGCGGCUGGAACACCUCCUUUUU